GAUGAACGCUGGCGGCGUGCCUAAUACAUGCAAGUCGAGCGAACAGACGAGGAGCUUGCUCCUCUGAUGUUAGCGGCGGACGGGUGAGUAACACGUGGAUAACCUACCUAUAAGACUGGGAUAACUUCGGGAAACCGGAGCUAAUACCGGAUAACAUGUUGAACCGCAUGGUUCAACAGUGAAAGACGUUCUUGCUGUCACUUAUAGAUGGAUCCGCGCCGCAUUAGCUGGUUGGUAAGGUAACGGCUUACCAAGGCAACGAUGCGUAGCCGACCUGAGAGGGGGGUCGGCCACACGAGAGGUGAGACGCGGUCCAGACUCCUGCGGGAGGCAGCAGUAGGGAAUCUUCCGCAAUAGGCGAAAGCCUGACGGAGCAACGCCGCGUGAGUGGAGAAGGUCUUCGGAGCGUAAAACUCUGUUAUUAGGGAAGAACAAAUGUGUAAGUAACUAUGCACGUCUUGACGGUACCUGAACAGAAAGCCACGGCUAACUACGUG
rnacentral:rRNA from 1 species